rnacentral:tRNA from 2 species
GCGGGUGUGGCGGAAUGGUAGACGCCGGGGACUUAAAAUCCCCUGUCCCUAGGACGUGCGGGUUCGAGUCCCGCCACCCGCACCA